CACGUAGGGCGCAAGCGUUGUCCGGAAUUAUUGGGCGUAAAGAGCUCGUAGGCGGUCUGUUGCGUCCGCUGUGAAAACUCGGGGCUUAACCCCGAGGCCUGCAGUGGAUACGGGCAGGCUAGAGGUAGGUAGGGGAGAAGUGGAAUUCCCGGUGUAGCGGUGAAAUGCGCAGAUAUCGGGAGGAACACCGGUGCGAAGGCGGUUCUCUG
rnacentral:rRNA from 1 species